GGCGGAAUGGCCGAGCGGUCUAAGGCGCUAGAAUCAGGUCUGAAGAUCGAAUUGAAGACUAUCUAGUCCGAAAGGGCGUGGGUUCGAAUCCCACUUCCGUCA